rnacentral:misc_RNA from 1 species
AAAUGCGAUAAUUAAUGUGAAUUGCAGAAUUCAGUGAAUCAUCGAGUCUUUGAACGCACAUUGCGCCCCCUGGUAUUCCGGGGGGCAUGCCUGUCCGAGCGUCAUUGCUGCCCUCAAGCACGGCUUGUGUGUUGGGCUUCCGUCCCUGGCAACGGGGACGGGCCCAAAAGGCAGUGGCGGCACCAUGUCUGGUCCUCGAGCGUAUGGGGCUUUGUCACCCGCUCCCGUAGGUCCAGCUGGCAGCUAGCCUCGCAACCAAUCUUUUUAACCAGGUUGACCUCUGAUCAGGUAGAGAUACCCGCUGGACUUAAGC